GACGCUCGCGGCGUGCUUAACACAUGCAAGUCGAGCGAUGAAACUACUUCGGUAGUGAAUUAGCGGCGAACGGGUGAGGAACACGUGAGGAAUCUGCCUUCAACACUGGGAUAACUCCGGGAAACCGGGGCUAAUACCGGAUACGAGCCUUGAUCGCAUGAUCGGGGCUGGAAAGUUUUUCGGUUGAAGAUGACCUCGCGGCCUAUCAGCUUGUUGGUGAGGUAAUGGCUCACCAAGGCGACGACGGGUAGCCGGCCUGAGAGGGCGACCGGCCACACUGGGACUGAGACACGGCCCAGACUCCUACGGGAGGCAGCAGUGGGGAAUAUUGGGCAAUGGAGGAAACUCUGACCCAGCGACGCCGCGUGCGGGAUGAAGGCCUUCGGGUUGUAAACCGCUCUCAGUAGGGAAGAAGCGAAAGUGACGGUACCUACAGAAGAAGCACCGGCUAACUAUGUGCCAGCAGCCCGCGGUAAUACAUAGGGUGCAAGCGUUGUCCGAAUUUUGGCCGUAC
rnacentral:rRNA from 1 species